rnacentral:rRNA from 1 species
CCUACGGGUGGCAGCAGUGAGGAAUAUUGGUCAAUGGACGAGAGUCUGAACCAGCCAAGUAGCGUGAAGGAUGACUGCCCUAUGGGUUGUAAACUUCUUUUAUAUGGGAAUAAAAUGUUCCACGUGUGGGAUUUUGUAUGUACCAUAUGAAUAAGGAUCGGCUAACUCCGUGCCAGCAGCCGCGGUAAUACGGAGGAUCCGAGCGUUAUCCGGAUUUAUUGGGUUUAAAGGGAGCGUAGGUGGAUUGUUAAGUCAGUUGUGAAAGUUUGCGGCUCAACCGUAAAAUUGCAUUUGAAACUGGCAGUCUUGAGUACAGUAGAGGUGGGCGGAAUUCGUGGUGUAGCGGUGAAAUGCUUAGAGAUCACGAAGAACUCCGAUUGCGAAGGCAGUUCACUGGACUGCAACUGACACUGAGGCUCGAAAGUGUGGGUAUCAAACAGGAUUAGAUACCCGGGUAGUC